GAGAUGAAGUGUUGCUGUGUCGCCCAGGCUGGAGUACAGUGGCACGGUCUGGGCUCACUGCAAGCUCCGCCUCCCAGGUUCAAGCCAUUCUCCUGCCUCAGCCUCCCAAGUAGCUGGAAUUACAGGCACCCACUACCACGCCCUGCUAAUUUUUUGUAUUUUUAGUAGAGACGGGGUUUCACCAUGCUGGCCAGGCGUGCUGGUAGGUACCUGUAAUCCCAGCUACUUGGGAGGCUGAGGCAGGAGAAUUGCUUGAACCCAGGAGGUGGAGGUAGCAGUGAGCAGAGAUCGUGCCAGUGCACUCCAGCCUAGGCAACAGAGUGAGACUCUGUCUCAAAAAACCCACAAAAAUAAAUACAAAUAAAAAAUAAAAAUAAAUACCUGACAUGGCUAUUUAUUAGCGUGCUUGAAAACCAGUCCUGCAUAGAGCUACACAUGCAUAAAAAUUAUUUGGGAGAAUACACAAUAAAAUGUUAACAAUUACUAUCUCUAAGUGGUGCGAUUAUGGAUGAUUUUUUCACUUUUCUUCUUUAUUUAGUCAUACCUUUCUAUAUUUUCAUAUGCUUCUUUUCUUUUUGAGACAGAGUCCCAUGCUGUUGCCCAGGCUGGAGUACAGUGGCAUGAAUCUCGGCUCACUGCAACCUCUGCCUCCCGGGUUCAGGCGAUUCUACUGCCUCAGCCUCCCAAGUAGUUGGGAUUACAGGCGUGCGCCACCAGGCCUGGCUGAUUUUUGUAUUUUUAGUAGAGACAGGGUUUCACCAUGUUAGCCAGGCUGGUCUCAAACUCCUAAACUCAAGUGAUCUGCCUGCCUCAGCCUCCCAAAGUGCUGGGAUUACAGGCUUGAGCCACCAUGCCUGGCCCUGAUGGGUUUCUUUUAUCUUUUAUACAAAAUUGAAAGCAUACUAUGGUGUUUGACUAGUUUUUCCUUAAUAUUCAAACAAGAUAAUAUAUUAUCUUUCUUUGAAAAUAUUAUCAUCAAUGGGCACCUAAUUAUAAUAUGAGGAUCUAUCAUAACUUAUUUCUUCCCAUAUUUCUUCCAAUAUACAUAUUGGAAACAAGGGGUUUUUUUGUGGCUUAUAAAUUACCUUUUGAAAAACAUCCUUUUAUGAAAGUCAUCUCUGCUUUGGGAUAGUUUUCUAGGAGUACAUUUUUAAGUCAUCAAGUUUUUAAACUUUUUUUUUUUUGAGACAAGGUCUCACUAUAUUGCCCAGGCUGGAUUUGAACUCUGAGGCUCAAGUGAUUCUCUUGCCUCAACCUACCCAGUAGCUGGCACUACAGGUGUGCAUUACCAUACCUGGUUAUGACCGGUUUUUAAUGACUCUUGAAAUGUAUUACCAAAUUGCUUUCCAGAGAGGCUCUCCCAAUAAUGUCAAAUCUUAUCUAGUCUUACAGUUGCAAAUUGAUAGUAGUAUAGUUUUAAAAAAUUAUCCAUUUUCUAGUUUUAAUUUAUAUUUGAGAAAUAGUUUCAUUGGAUAAUUUUUAUGUGUAUUGGCCAUAUAAAUGGCAUUUUGAUGGCAAAUGCUAUAAUAGCACUAUACUAAUGACUAUUAUCCAACAAAUCAAUUAUGGGCCAGAAGUUUUAAUAACAGUAAGUUUUUAAGGAAAAACUUUAUGACUUUUAUUUCUAUUAAAAUUUUUUUUAAAAAAACCACACUUUUUCGAAUUGACUCAAGACAUUAAAAAAAGAAAUUUUUUUCCCCAAAAUUGUAAUAAAUAGCCUUCUAUCAGUCCACAAGAUGGGAGUAUUCUGAUCUUACAAUAUUUUAGCUUCAGUUGCUAAAAGUGGCAGUUUUUAGUUUUCAUAUUAAGCUUGUAUCAGAUCCCUUCUGCAAAGUCAUUAAGAAAAAAAUAAUUAUAUUCAAUUUAUAGCUCAUAAUAGUUUCCAUUCACAUGUUUGUAAGUUCACAGUCAAAAGGACUUUCUACUUCUAUGGAAUAUUUUUCAUGCAGUUAAUAUGUGGUAGCAUCAGGUAACUGCAGUACAUGUUUACUUUAAAAAAAUAAUAAUAACUUUGGCCAGGCACGGUGGCUCACAUCUGUAAUCCCAGCACUUUAGGAGGCCAAGGCCGGUGGAUAGGUUGAGCCCAGGAGUCCAAGACCAGCUGGGGCCACGUGGCGAAAACCUGUCUCUACUAAAAAUCCAAAAAUUAGUCAGGUGUGGUAGUGCACAUCUGUAGUCCUAGCUACUCACAAGGCUGUGGUGGGAGGAUUGAUUGAGCCUGGGAGGUUGAGGCUGCAGUGAGCUGCAAUCAUGCCAAUGCACUCCAGCCUGAGGGACAGAGGGAGACCCUGUCUCAAAGCAAAACGAAACAAAAAAGCACACACACAAAGAAACCCCUAAAAAACUAAAAAAACUUAGCUGGACAUGAUGGUGUGUGCCUAUAGUUCCAGCUACUCACAGGCUAAGGCUGGAGGAUCGCUUGAGCUCAGGAGUUUGAGGCUGCAGUGAGCUGUGAUGGCGCCACUGCACUAUAGUCUAGGUGACAGAGCAAGACCCUGUCUCUUAAAAAAAAAAUUAACUUUUAUGCUUAGGCUUACAUGCUUUAAUAAACAGUGACUUAGAAAUAUCAGGGGAACAGGCCGGGUGCAGUGGCUCAUGCCUGUAAUCCCAGCACUUUGGGAGGCUGAGGCGGGCAGAUCACGAGGUCAGGAGUUCAAGACCAGCCUGGCCAACAUAGUGAAACCCCGUCUCUACUAAAAAUACAAAAAUUAGCUGGGCAUGAUGGUGGGCGCCUGUAGUCCCAGCUACUUGGGAGGCUGAGGCAGGAGAAUCCCUUGAACCCAGGAGGUGGAGGUUGCAGUGAGCCGAGAUUGUGCCACUGCACUCUAGCCUGGGUGACACAGCGAGACUGUCUCAGAAAAAAAAAAGAAAGAAGUAUCAGGGGAACAAACUUGUGAAAGAAACAGACAUACGUGAACCUUUCUCAUCAAACCUUAACAGCUAUCAAUCACCAUUUAUAUAAAACUGGUACCAUCUCCAAUCUCAAGUGUUCUUUUCCACAUUUCUGGAAAUUUUACCUUAGAAUCACUAGUUCUUUGGUUGGCCUUUCUAUUUCUACUUCAUGUGGGCUACUAAUCCUGGUUAAAACUCUUAUAUGUACGGUAAUGGAAUCAACGGCUUCGACUGUCUUUUUUUUAGCAAGCCCUGAUCAACUAGGAAUACGACCACUUACAAUUGGCUACUCUCUUUUCUCUUAUUCAACAAAAGCAAAAACCAGGAGGCAUGUGUAGCUGACCUUACACAGCAACCAACUUUCCAACACUCUCAUCAGCAGGAGGUCGUUCUUUAAACUCUCUUAAAAUAAUUUCAUACUUAGUAGCACUAUCCAAGUGUCACUGGACCCAAUCACUAUAAUUCAUUCUCCUUAGCACUGUCCAACAAUCUCUAAUUUUACAAAAAUACUCAAGAGUGCAUCAGAGGCCAGGCGCCUCUGAUACGGGCUCACGCCUGUAAUCCCAGCACUUUGGGAGGCUGAGGCAGGCGGAUCACCUGAGGUCGGGAGUUCGAGACCAGCCUGACCAACCUGGAGAAACCCCGUCUCUACUAAAAAUACAAAAUUAGUCAGGCGUGGUGGCGCAUGCCUGUAAUCCCAGCUAAUCGGGAGGCUGAGGCAGGAGAAUCGCUUGAACCUAGGAGGCAGAGGUUGCAGUGAGCCGAGAUUGUGCCACUGCAUUCCAGCCUGGGUAACAAGAGCGAAACUCCGUCUCAAAAAAAAAAAGAAAAAAAAGUGCAUCAGAAAGAGCUUUUAGGAAGAUCCUUUUUAUUC
rnacentral:lncRNA from 10 species